rnacentral:ncRNA from 1 species
CUGGGAAGCGCACGGCCGCAAAUCUGACCCGUCGUCCAGACGGCGACCCCUGUCGCCGUCUGGACGACUCGAGAUUGCGGAAGUGC